rnacentral:rRNA from 1 species
AGCUCCAAUAGCGUAUAUUAAAGUUGUUGCAGUUAAAAAGCUCGUAGUCGGAUUUCUGGCUGGGGCUGUGUGUCCAGCAAUGCUGCGCACGCACGGCCCUGGUCUUCCUUCUGGCGACUGCGCAUGUCGUUUGCUCGGUGUGCGUACGGAGUCAGGACCUUUACUGUGAAAAAAUUAGAGUGUUUAAAGCAGGCGAUUUGCUGUGAAUACAUUAGCAUGGAAUAAUAGAAUAGGACUUGGGUUUUAUUUUGUUGGUUUCUAGGACCGAAGUAAUGAUUAAUAGGGACAGUUGGGGGCAUUCGUAUUUCAUUGUCAGAGGUGAAAUUCUUGGAUUUAUGAAAGACGAACCGCUGCGAAAGCGUCUGCCAAGGAUGUUUUCAUUGAUCAAGAACGAAAGUAC